GACGAACGCUGGCGGCGUGCUUAACACAUGCAAGUCGAACGGAAAGGCCCUGCUUUUGUGGGGUGCUCGAGUGGCGAACGGGUGAGUAACACGUGAGUAACCUGCCCUUGACUUUGGGAUAACUUCAGGAAACUGGGGCUAAUACCGGAUAGGAGCUCCUGCUGCAUGGUGGGGGUUGGAAAGUUUCGGCGGUUGGGGAUGGACUCGCGGCUUAUCAGCUUGUUGGUGGGGUAGUGGCUUACCAGGGCUUUGACGGGUAGCCAGCCUGAGAGGGUGACCGGCCACAUUGGGACUGAGAUACGGCCCAGACUCCUACGGGAGGCAGCAGUGGGGAAUAUUGCACAAUGGGCGGAAGCCUGAUGCAGCAACGCCGCGUGCGGGAUGACGGCCUUCGGGUUGUAAACCGCUUUCGCCUGUGACGAAGCGUGAGUGACGGUAAUGGGUAAAGAAGCACCGGCUAACUACGUG
rnacentral:rRNA from 1 species